rnacentral:rRNA from 1 species
CAUCAGGGUCACACCACCCUGAUGCAUCCAAUCUCGUCUGACCUUGGAAGCUAAGCAGGCGGGGGCCUGUUUCCAACAUCUAAGCUAGACUUACAAAAAUGUUUCUGUUGUGGUGA